rnacentral:rRNA from 1 species
CCCUUAGAUGUCCGGGGCUGCACGCGCGCUACACUGAAGGAAUCAGCGUGCUAAAACCAUUGUCGAAAGGCAUUGGUAAACCCAUUAAAAUCCUACGUGAUUGGGAUCGGGAAUUGCAAUUAUUUCCCUUGAACGAGGAAUUCCCAGUAAGUGUGGGUCAUAAGCUCGCGUUGAUUACGUCCCUGCCCUUUGUACACACCGCCCGUCGCUGCCCGGGACUGAGCCGUUUCGAGAAAAGCGGGGACUGCUGCUGUCGGGGCUUUCGGGCCUUGGCUUCGGUGGAAACCGCUUUAAUCGCAGUGGCUUGAACCGGGCAAAANUCGUAACG